rnacentral:rRNA from 1 species
CCUGGGAUAAUANUGACGUUCAUGCUCGAAAGCGUGGGUAGCAAACAGGAUUAGAUACCCUGGUAGUCCACGCCCUAAACGAUGUCGAUUAGCUGUUGGGCAGCNUGACUGCUUAGUAGCGUAGCUAACGCGUGAAAUCGACCGCCUGGGGAGUACGGUCGCAAGACUAAAACUCAAAGGAAUUGACGGGGACCCGCACAAGCGGUGGAUGAUGUGGAUUAAUUCGAUGCAACGCGAAGAACCUUACCUGGUCUUGACAUGUACGGAACCNNNCAGAGACGGAAGGGUGCCUUCGGGAGCCGUAACACAGGUGCUGCAUGGCUGUCGUCAGCUCGUGUCGUGAGAUGUUGGGUUAAGUCCCGCAACGAGCGCAACCCUUGUCAUUAGUUGCCAUCAUUCAGUUGGGCACUCUAAUGAGACUGCCGGUGACAAACCGGAGGAAGGUGGGGAUGACGUCAAGUCCUCAUGGCCCUUAUGACCAGGGCUUCACACGUCAUACAAUGGUCGGUACANAGGGUAGCCAAGCCGCGAGGCGGAGCCAAUCUCAUAAAACCGAUCGUAGUCCGGAUUGCACUCUGCAACUCGAGUGCAUGAAGUCGGAAUCGCUAGUAAUCGCAGGUCAGCAUACUGCGGUGAAUACGUUCCCGGGUCUUGUACACACCGCCCGUCACACCAUGGGAGUGGGGGAUACCAGAAGUAGGUAGGGUAACCGCAAGGAGCCCGC